rnacentral:tRNA from 1 species
CGGGUAGCUCAGUUGGAUAGAGCAUCAGACUACGAAUCUGGAGGUCGGAGGUUCGACUCCUCUCCUGC